GACGAACGCUGGCGGCGUGCUUAACACAUGCAAGUCGAACGGGCCUGUCUUCUUUUUUGGGGGUGGGUUGAGUGGCGAACGGGUGAGUAUCACGUGAGUAACCUGCCCUUCGGUCCUGGAUAACCGCUUGAAAGGGCGGCUAAUACGGGGUGGUCCGGUUGGUCCGCAUGGGCUGGUCGGGAUAGAUUCACUGUUUUUGGUGUUUCGGCGGGGGAUGGGCUCGCGGCCUAUCAGCUUGUUGGUGGGGUGAUGGCCUACCAAGGCGGUGACGGGUAGCCGGCCUGGGAGGGUGGGCGGCCACACUGGGACUGAGGUACGGCCCAGACUCCUGCGGGAGGCAGCAGUGGGGGGUAUUGCACAAUGGGCGGAAGCCUGAUGCAGCGACGUCGCGUGAGGGAGGGAGGCCUUCGGGUUGUGAACCUCUGUUUCCGGUGGUGAAGGCCCUGUCCGUGUGGUGGGGUUGACGGUAGCCGGGGAUGAAGCGCCGGCUAACUACGUG
rnacentral:rRNA from 1 species